GGCGGCGGCGGCGGCAGCAGCGGCCGAGGCGGGGCUGCACGUCUCGGCACUGGGCCCGCACCCGCCCGCCGCGCAUCUGCGCUCGCUCAAGAGCCUGGAGCCCGAGGACGAGGUGGAGGACGACCCCAAGGUGACGCUGGAGGCCAAGGAGCUGUGGGACCAGUUCCACAAGCUAGGCACGGAGAUGGUCAUCACCAAGUCCGGGAGGCGGAUGUUCCCCCCCUUCAAGGUGCGAGUCAGCGGCCUGGACAAGAAGGCCAAAUACAUCCUGCUGAUGGACAUUGUGGCCGCUGACGAUUGCCGCUAUAAGUUCCACAACUCGCGCUGGAUGGUGGCGGGCAAGGCCGACCCUGAGAUGCCCAAACGCAUGUACAUCCACCCAGACAGCCCAGCCACGGGGGAGCAGUGGAUGGCCAAGCCUGUGGCCUUCCACAAGCUGAAGCUGACCAACAACAUCUCUGACAAGCACGGCUUCACCAUCCUAAACUCCAUGCACAAGUACCAGCCGCGCUUCCACAUAGUGCGAGCCAACGACAUCCUGAAGCUGCCGUACAGCACCUUCCGCACCUACGUGUUCCCGGAGACCGACUUCAUCGCCGUCACUGCCUACCAGAAUGACAAGAUCACACAGCUGAAGAUCGACAACAACCCGUUUGCCAAGGGCUUCCGGGACACCGGGAACGGCCGGCGGGAGAAAAGGAAGCAGCUGACGCUGCCGUCUCUGCGCUUGUACGAGGAGCACUGCAAACCCGAGCGCGAUGGCGCGGAGUCGGACGCCUCGUCGUGCGACCCUCCUCCAGCGCGGGAACCACCCACCUCCCCGGGCGCAGCGCCCAGUCCCCUGCGCCUGCACCGCGCCCGAGGUGAGGGUCGGACCGGAGGAUGGAGAGGGAGGUGGGGGCGGGGGGGGUGGUCCUCAGGUCGCUGGGCUGGUCUUUUGCUGAGCUACCCGCUAAUCUGAAAGGCCAGGAAGGAAACGGGUUUCUGUCCCGGGACUCCCCUACGAGGGCGGUGCCCGGUAGCCAGAAGAUCCGGCCGGACUCCGAACCUGGCCCCUUGGGCGCCGUGUAAUUCUAUGGCUGUAGGGUUUCCUCUCCACGGCUGGGUUCCUUCCACUGUAAAUCUGGGGUCUUGGAUUAGGUGACCUGCAGCUGCCCCUUGCCCGACUCCAGCAGCUCCUCCGACUAGGCCUCCCCGAGAGCAGCCCUUCCCGAGUGUCCCUGAUCCUGCUCAUCGGCCUCCGCCCAGGCCCCUGUAAUCCGCGUGCCCUCUCCCCGCAGCUGAAGAGAAGUCGUGCGCCGCGGACAGCGACCCGGAGCCUGAGAGGUUGAGCGAGGAGCGUGCGGGGGCGCCGCUAGGCCGCAGCCCUGCUCCAGACAGCGCCAGCCCCACUCGCUUGACCGAACCUGAGCGCGCCGGGGAGCGGCGCAGUCCCGAGAGGGGCAAGGAGCCGGCCGAGAGCGGCGGGGACGGCCCGUUCGGCCUGCGGAGCCUGGAGAAGGAGCGCGCAGAAGCUCGGAGGAAGGACGAGGGACGCAAGGAGGCUGCCGAGGGCAAGGAGCAGGGCCUGGCGCCGCUGGUGGUGCAGACAGACAGUGCGUCCCCCCUGGGCGCCGGACACCUGUCCGGCCUGGCCUUUUCCAGCCACUUGCACGGGCAGCAGUUCUUCGGGCCGCUGGGAGCCGGCCAGCCGCUCUUCCUGCACCCUGGACAGUUCACCAUGGGCCCUGGCGCCUUCUCCGCCAUGGGCAUGGGUCACCUGCUGGCCUCGGUGGCAGGCGGCGGCAACAGCGGAGGUGGCGGGCCUGGGACCGCCGCGGGGCUGGACGCAGGCGGGCUGGGUCCCGCGGCCAGCGCAGCAAGCACCGCCGCACCCUUCCCGUUCCACCUCUCCCAGCACAUGCUGGCAUCUCAGGUAAGGCCUGUGACCCCGCGGCAGCGCCAGCGAGGGAGAAGGCCCAGGGAGCUGGCGGCGAAGCCAGCGGAGGGCCCGAGGGUUCCAGGGUCGCUGGGAGCCUCUGGCAGGCAAGAACUCCAUCCAGGGGAGGCCCCCGGAUGCCCUUUGGGACACCUGGGUUCUGAGAGACGAGGACUGUGUUGUAAGUCCAGGGGCUGGCCAGGGUGCCGCUUCUGACUCCCGUGUGACCUUUGGCAAGUCCCUGACCCUCUCUGGGCCUGCUUCCUUCCCUAUAGCCCCAGCGAGGAGUGCGGUGCCCAUCGAGACUCUUCUGACCCUCACAGACCAGGGCCACCCCUGGCUUGUGAAGUCUUCUCUCCUGGCCUCAGGACAUUUUUCUUGAGAACAAAGACCCUUGGCUCCCUGUCCAUUCUGAAAGGCUAAGGUGGCCAGACAGACAAAAGGGAGGAGGAACAUUUGCAUUAUUUUCUGGACAGUUGACCAUCAGCCCUCCCAGAGGUCUCUGGCCCCUCCCAGACCUUCUAUGAAGUCCUCUGUCCUGGCAAAGGACAAGGCUGGUCUCUCCCCUACCGUGAGUUCCCAGCACCCCCAGCCACAUGUCAGGGAUGAGAACUCAGCUCCUCAGGCCCCAUUGAAAUUCCGAGCUCCCAGGGGAGUGUUAAUGAAAAUGUGGCUGGGGCACAGUAAGGAGAUCCGAUGCGGACAGUAGCCUCUUUGGUUGCUUGGGUGGAAUAUUCCCUGUGGAAAGAUUUGGAAUCUCUUCAUUCAUUUUCUUCCCUCUGAGGUUUCUGGCAAAUUGAACCCCUGAGAUCUUAUCUCAAGGGAAGGAAAAUAGCAGUUCAGGUCUGAGAAAGCUCCUUUGCUUCAGAAGCAAAUAUUUUAAAAGUUGGGUUGGUGGGGAGGGUUGGGAGGCAGGCGAUUCUGAAACGAGUUUUACACACAGCUCAGUGUAAGGGUGUGUGGAGUGUUUGAGGUAUCACCAUCACUCAUCUGGGGCUCUGGGCUGGAAGGGAAGCCUCUGGAGAAAGUUCAGGGCCCAGAGGUUUAAUCUGCACCCCUGAUUAUUUGUGUAUGUGAAUGCCUCCUCCCCAGACAAACUGGUAAUGAUCACCAGCAUCACAGAGGUCAUGAGGAAGUCAGGGCUUCUAGACACAGCCUGGCCAACAGGUGCAUGGCCUGGGUGAGAAUACCAGCACCUGGGAGGUAUCCGUUGGUAGGGCUGCUGGUAGUUACAUUCCCAGGCCAGUGCAGCCCAUCCCAGACAUCAGGUAGAGCCAAAUCCCAAGAGAACUGAAGCCUCCCUCCUUCCUCCCAACCUGGGAUGCCAGAUCUGAAAUGCCCAGUAGGACCUGACACUCUCAGGAGGGGGUAUUUUCUCAGGCCUGAUGAAGCUGCCUCUUUUCUUCUUCCUGCUUGAGCCAGGCCUGAGGCUCCCUGGGAGCCCAGCGCAAUCAUCAGCCCCCUGCCCUCCUCCCCAUACCCACUGGCUCUGGGGAGUAAGACAUUAUCUCAAAGGUCAGGCCGUGCACCAGCCAGACCUCAUGAACUCAGGAAGGUGCUUGUCCAGGAGUUCCUGGCUGCUGUGCCCUUCACAGGCAAAGACUGCAUUCCUUCCUCAGCUGCCAGUGAGGUGCUGCCAGGCGUUCCCUGUAGAACUUUCAGGCCAGUUUAUGAACUGGUUGGCACCUGUGUCCUCCUCCUGGCCCAGGCAGGAGAACCGUGAGCAGGCAGAAGGAGACUUUGCAAAGUGCCUUCCCCAGCGUGUGUGCCCUCUGCCCUUCAGAGCCUGCAGAUAGGAGGGGUGGCGAGGACACUGUUCUCAAUGAGCAGAACCUCCAAGACACCCAAAGCUGCCUGUUUGCCACCUGGCCCUAUGCCUGCCCCGUUUUCUCCCUCAAAGCCUUCACCCAUGCUAGUGCAGUCACCUGGAAUGUCCCUUCCAUUACCCCUGCUGUAAUGCCCAGCACAGAACUUGAUGGCAGGCCUUUGCAUGGUAGCCUGAAGCGAUCUCACCCUUCUAACUGGGUUUGGCGACAGGAACACUGGCUCAUGCUUACCUGUGCUGCCUGUGGUUAUAGUUAUGCGAGUUGUGGUUUUACAUCUCUAAAACAGCAGGGCACUGUGUCCAGGGGAUAGAUAGCACCACCCCAGCACCCAGCCCACCUUCAGAAAGACUUCAGGAAAGAUGUCUAACCCUUGUCUUGUUCUGUUUCUUCCAGGGAAUUCCAAUGCCCACUUUCGGAGGCCUCUUCCCCUACCCCUACACCUACAUGGCAGCAGCAGCCGCAGCCGCCUCGGCUUUGCCCGCCACUAGUGCUGCAGCUGCCGCCGCCGCAGCCGCCGGCUCCCUGUCCCGGAGCCCCUUCCUGGGCAGUGCCCGGCCCCGACUGCGUUUCAGCCCCUAUCAGAUCCCGGUCACCAUCCCGCCUAGCACUAGCCUCCUCACCACCGGGCUGGCCUCCGAGGGCUCCAAGGCUGCUGGCGGAAACAGCCGGGAGCCUAGCCCCCUGCCCGAGCUGGCUCUCCGCAAAGUAGGGGCCCCAUCCCGCGGUGCCCUGUCGCCCAGUGGCUCGGCCAAGGAGGCGGCCAAUGAACUGCAGAGCAUCCAGAGACUGGUGAGUGGGCUGGAGGGCCAGCGAGCCCUCUCCCCAGGCCGGGAGUCGCCCAAGUGAGGGGCUGCCCAGCUGCUCCCCUGCCACGCAGGCCACCCGGGCUGCCUGCCCCUGCUGCUUGGGACGUGUACAGCACAGAAUGGGUAUUUAUUUAAAUAAAGGAGAAAAGUGGGCUGCAGCAGCCGGAAUAGAGCCUCGUCUGGCAAGUUGGGGCCUGGGACACUUCCCUGGGCCUCAACAAGGAUCAGGCUGCUGGAAACGCAGUCACUUGGGAGCUGCUGGGCUAGGUCCAGAUCCGCUCCAGCGUCAAGGUGGCAUCCGAAGGUGUCUCUGGUCUUCCAGCGAGGUGGGAGAGGCCUCAUCCAGGGCCCAGCGGUCCCUGCAGAAGCCAGAAGGUGCAGGGGCCAGGGGUGGGAGCAUCGGAGGGAGUCCCAGAGCCCUGGACCUUGGGCCUAGACCGCGUGAGAAAACUGGGUUGAGGGAGGCUGGAACCAGUUACGACUGAAGUCAGUGUAGACCUGAGCUGGGAGGGAACCUGUUAGUCUCCCCACCUCUUCCCUGAAGAGACAGGCACCCCUCCCAGCCGUGGUCAACGGAGGGAGUGGCCCUUCUGCCUUGAGUCCCCAGGGGGAAAAAAAAAGAUAUUUAUGAAAUAAAUGGUAAUUUGUGUAAAUAA
rnacentral:sRNA from 1 species